rnacentral:rRNA from 1 species
GAUGAACGCUGGCGGCGUGCCUAAUACAUGCAAGUCGAGCGAACAGAUGAGGAGCUUGCUCCUCUGACGUUAGCGGCGGACGGGUGAGUAACACGUGGAUAACCUACCUAUAAGACUGGGAUAACUUCGGGAAACCGGAGCUAAUACCGGAUAAUAUAUUGAACCGCAUGGUUCAAUAGUGAAAGACGGUUUUGCUGUCACUUAUAGAUGGAUCCGCGCCGCAUUAGCUAGUUGGUAAGGUAACGGCUUACCAAGGCAACGAUGCGUAGCCGACCUGAGAGGGUGAUCGGCCACCCUGGAACUGAGACACGGUCCAGACUCCUACGGUAGGCAGCAGUAGGGAAUCUUCCGCAAUGGGCGAAAGCCUGACGGAGCGACGCCGCGUGAGUGAUGAAGGUCUUCGGAUCGUAAAACUCUGUUAUUAGGGAAGAACAAAUGUGUAAGUAACUAGGCACGUCUUGACGGUACCUAAUCAGAAAGCCACGGCUAACUACGUG